AUUUCUCAACUCCGCCUCCUUUGCGGGAGAGCGGGGCUUGGAGUUGGAGGUUUGCGGGCGCAAGUCCGCUCCUCUCAAAUGCAUUAGUGAAGCCCAGGCGGCCUCGGCGUGAUAAUUGUCUACGUCCAAGGUUGUCUAUUGCGGUUUUCGCUUCUAACCGUCCCUCGGGACAAUUCAUCGAA
rnacentral:misc_RNA from 1 species